rnacentral:lncRNA from 1 species
CUUGUUCAUACUGAUAGAUGCGUAACAAGAAAGAUUGUCAGCCUGCAUUUAUAAUACAUUACAUUGUGUAGGUAUGCCAUUGUUGACAUUUGACGAGACUGUAACAAAUUCACUUGUGUGAAAAGACCAAUUAACUCCAUGUUCUUACGAGUCAAAAAGAUUGCGCGCGAGAGCGCGCACCUGCACACACACACAUAGUACUUCUUUAUUGCAGAUGCCUUCAUUUUCUUUUCAUAUGAACACAUUUUUAAACUAUAUAAUUUAAGAAAAUUAGUUUUUUACUCUUUUAAACUACAUGACUUUAUAAUUCAUUAAAAAAUAAUUCCCUUAAACCAUAUGAUUUAAGAGCGUAUCCGCAUUAAAAAAAAUAAAGGGCCCACACAAUGACUAUAUACAUAUAUAUAUAUAUAUAUAUGAAAGGGCAGAGAGAUUGGCGUAGUUUGGAAAUGUCAUAUUAGAACAUUUCUAUAUGAGAUUUUGAUUUCUAUAUGAGAUUUUGUCUUUGGUUAUGAUGGUAGUGAUGUAAGGGGGAAUGGAGGUACUGUGCUAAUGCGUUUCUCACUUUACUUGUUUCUUGUUGAAUUUAAGUGGCACAACUCUUUCUGCUAGAUUGUAUUAAUAAUAGCAAUUGAUUUGUCUGCUUAACCUUUUCAUUUGAGUGGUGUUGUAGAAUGAUCAUGGUCUGAACUAGAGGGAGCUUUGAUCACCACGUGUCUUACUCGACUUAUUAUUUGUUAUAGAUUGACAAGAUUAUAAUACCGUCAACAACUGGGCUAAUGAGUGUUCUUCCUGGGCAUGCGUCUAUAAUUGCUGUGUUGAAAUCUGGCGUCCUAUCAGUGCAUGAAGGAAAUGAAGUAAUAAAAUAUUUUAUCAGCAGUGGCUUUGCACUUAUCCACACAAACUCUUAUGCGGAAAUAAUUGCUGUUGAGGCUGUGCCACUUGAACAAAUUGACCCAAGCCUAAUUUAGAAGGGACUCGCUGAGUUUACCCAGAAACUAAGCUUAGCCUCAAGCCCUCAACCAACUUAGAGAAAGCUGAAGCCCAAAUUGGAGUUGAUGUGCAUGUUGCUCUAAACUCUGCUCUCACUGGGAAGUGUUAGUGUUACCAGUCAUUUUACUCCCUGUUAAGUUUGUGAUAUAAAGCCAAAAGUUUGUCUGAAAUUCUGUAUGUGCUUUUUGUGUUGUACAUUGAUCUAAUAUUAAUAAUUUUUGUCUCGGAUUCUUUACACUUUAGUAGGCUUGCUGCUUGCUGCGGCCUGCAAGAGUGAACCUGCGCCAUCAUGUUUGAGGCGUGUUUGAUAUUGAGGUAUCUAGAUUGGAUAAUUAUAAUUUAAAAACUGUAAUAUUAAAGUGUUUAAUAAACUGCUGUAGUUUGAAAGGUAAGAUGAAAAACCUAUAAGAAAUAUAUUACUUAAAGUUAUAUUUAUUGUAUACUGUUAACUUUUAUUUCAUUGUUAUUAAUUUUUUCUUUUAGUAGUACUUCAUUAUCGAAUUGGGUGUGUUAAGAAAAGGAAGUGGCUCAUCUUGGAUUCAACUUGUUUCUACCCAUGAUAGGCUCUAAGGAAUGCAUUUCUUUUUUUAAAAAAAACCAUUAUUAAGUUUAUUUUCUUGUUUAAAGAAAUACAACAAAUACAAUAACAUAAGGUUGUAGUUUUGAGCUAAUUUUUACGAAGGUUGUUGAGAUGUUUUUUUCCCUCUCGCAACACCAGUUUGACAUUACCUUGUUUACGUUUUUAAACUAAGAGGCCAGUUUGAUAAUACUAUAAUUUUUAAAAUAAUUCAUGUUAGUUGUUUAAAUAAUUAAUUGUGAAAAAAAUUAGAUAAAAGUUUAGUAAAAUUUAUCUUUAAAAGUGCUGUGAGUUUUAAAAGUAAUCAUAUGUGUUUAGUAAAUCUUAUUGUUAAACUAUUGUAAUAAUAUAAAUAACUAAAUUGGAUAUGAUGUUAAAUAAAAUUUUUACAAUACGAUUUACCAAAUACAUACGAUUUUUUUAAAACCCACAACACUUUUACAAAUAAACUUUACCAAACGUUUAACUAAUUCUCUUUAUAACUAAUUAGAUUUAUAGAAGGGCUAACAUCAAAUAUUUUAAAAACUACAAACUCAUCAAAUUGGCCCUAAGUACGUUGCCGCUGGCUAGCAAUUCCUAAGUUUUUUGUUAUGCCUAAGUAAGAAGAUUACUUUUAUUAUUAUUAUUUUUUAACAAAAAAAAAAAAAACUAUUGGUUAGACGUAAGGAUAGCAAUAUGUAUCACCCACUGCGGGUUUGUCACUGCGGGUUUGUCAUUACCAAAUUUGCACUAGUGAAAAUUUUAAAUUAUUAAACCCAUUGCGAGCUUUAAAUAUUAUGAAACCCUCCUGCAAUCCGCUGUGAGUUUUUUAUGAGUUCUUACAUUUAAGCUCACAAAUAUUGAAAAAAUACUUUCAAUAAUAAAUAAAAAUUUAAAUUAUAUACUUCAAACUAUAAAUUUAUAAUAAUAGCUUAAAAAAUCCACAUAAAAUACUCAGUUUUAGAUUUUAUCAAUAUAAACGAAAAUUAAAGUUUCAACAUUAAAACAAAUGCACAAAAUAUAUCAAGAUAAUACAAAAUAUUUCGAUUGUAGGCAAAAUUAUUAUCAGUAAGAUUAAUGCAUUGCUCCAUCUUUUUUUUUUUCAACAUGUAUUGUCAACAAUAUUAACGAGUAAAUAUUAGACAACUACCAUUAGCAAUUUUUUUAAAUGAAUAAAAACCCACAUUUAGUAAGCAAUCAUUAGGUUCAAGUUAUUAAGGUUGAACGAGCAAAAUCAACUAAAUUAAAAUAAUAUAUUAUUAAUAUUAAAUUUGAAAAUCAUAAAAUUUCGACUUAUUAAAUUUAUUUUAUCUAUCUUAAUGUGUGCCCCUGUGUGUGUUUAUGUGUUUUUUUGGGGGAGGGGGGGUUAGCGCAUACGGCUACACUGAACGAGGUGAGGUUUAAGAAUGAGGAAGACUAUGUCGUGAAUAAUAACUUUAGCACAUAUGUUUAAUAUUUUUUUUAUGUAACUUUUAUGAUUAAAAUUCAAAACCUAAAUAAUUAAAAAAAUAAAAUGCGGGGGUCGAUGGAUGCCCACAUAGAUAUCCUUGAAUUUUUUUUUAUUAAAUAUCAUGUGAUUCAUAAUGCAUUUAAAUUUAAAAUACCAAACCUACAUGCAAUUUACAAAAUUACUUAUAAAAAGACGGAUUUUUAUGAGUGGGUUUUAGCAAAUUUGUAGAUUUGGGAAUAAUUUGCCCAUUCUUAGUUGGAACGGUAAAGUUCGACAAAAAGGUUGCUGUUGGGACCCGGACAUGUUCAAGAUUAUGAUAUAAAGAAGGUAAAAGGGAAAUAAAAGAAAUAAAAUCUUAUUGAAGUUUAAUAAUUUGACGAUUGCUCAGGCUGUGUUGUCAGCACGUGUGUAAAUUGAAUAAUUAAGUCAAAAUAACAAAAAAAAAACAUGAACCCACAGCAAAGUGACUCAAUCUCUGAGGCGGUUAAUUAAUUUUAAGGAUGCAGUUUUCCUUUUAAACAUCCGUUUCAUGCACUAUUGACAUGCUCCAAGCUCACGUAAGCUUGGCUUUGUUGAUCACAGUUUCACAGCUCAGCCACUCAUUUAAAAAUCGACAUCAGCUCAUGCUCCAACGUGGGAGAAAGAAACGCAAUUGAUUGCCUUCAAUAAUUGAGGUCACAUCAUGGUUUACCAUCGUGGCACAGUCGACACCGUUGAUUUAAACUGACCUCGUAAUCUUGACCGUCAACAAUGGCAAAGUACAGUUAAAUUUUUUUUAAUUCUUAAUCAAUUGACACGUAGCACGUGCGAUUAAUUAUAGCUGCUGUGCUGUUGGACUGAGGAGAAUCGCACGUACACCGGGCAGCGUUUGGAGGAGCUGACCGGUUUAUUCGGUCAUGUGGCGUGGGCCAGAGAGGACAAGGACCUUGGGAAAAGAGCCAGCAAGAUUAUGCGUCAGGUGGGUCCCAACAUUGAAUGGCCUGUGUCUGCUAUUGUGGGGUCCGUGGGUCCUACGUCUAAUCAGCUCCAAGUUUGGUGCUUUUAACUUUUUAUUUUUUUAUUUUUGAGGGCGUGCGGGGCCCACUGCUUACUCAACUCCUAGUUGGAGAAAGUAACGACAAGUGUGGUCCUUGGACUCUAGAGAGAUCAUGAAGGGUCCGCUUGUAAUAAUUAAUUCAGUGGCCUACCGGUCUUUUAACGUCAGUCCCCAAGGUUUCGACAUUUUAACUUUUCCCCAUACUUCCAUAUUUUCAUGCUAACACCCUCAUUAAAUUCAUAUAUUGAUUUUCACCCCCAAUAAUUCGCAUUCAUGUGCUACUCUUUUAUAUACCUUUUACCUCAUUCAAAGAUAUUCUUAUUUAAGGACUAGUUAAUAGUCAUAAUAAGAACUUAGAUAGUUAAGUGUGACUUUUUUUCAUCAUUAUUAUCGGACAUUAAAGUUAAAGCCCCUGACAUGUUUAUAAUGUUGUUAAAAUUAUAAUUUUAUUCUAAUAAAAUGGCUACUCUUUUAUCUAUGGUAUUUCUUUAGAAACAUUGUUUAUGUAAAAUUAUUUUGUUUGAUAGACUUUAUUUAUCAGUUGAUUGAUGUUACUUCUAAUUGAAGUAAUUUCAAAAUAUAUUAUAGUUCGUUAACUUUUAAGUUCACAUAUGUCAUAUUCCCAAAAUAUUUAAUCUAACCAUAAUAAUGUAUUGCUCAUGUGUAAAUUAUAUUAUAACACAAAUAUGAUUCUAACUUUCAAGUUCACAUAUGUCAUAUUCCCAAAAGAUUUAAUCUAACCAGAAUAAUGUAUUGCUCAUGUGUAAAUUGUAACACAAAUAUGAUUCUAACACAUUGAUAUUUUAAUAUAUUGCAUCAUCAAAAAAAAUUAUUUAAAUUUUUAGGUGGUUUGAACAUUAUUUUUUCAGUAUAAUUUAUUUAUUAGUUAAUUUUCUUAUGUCAUUAUAAAAUAUAUUAUACAUUGGAGCAUUUUCAACUUAUAGCAUUCAUGGAUCAUGUUACCACUUUUCUACCAAUUUAACGUUUUUAUUUUAAAGAACCAAGUUUGAAGAAUUUUGAACUCAUUUUGCAGCUACUAGUCUAAUACUAGCACUAGCAGUAGAGGAAAGAAAAGUUGAACAAUUUUCCUUUCUUUAAAGUGACUGUCUAGGUGGGGAGAACAGAAUCUCGAGUACCCAAAAACAACGAAGAAGAAGUACACAAGGCGACUAACCGAGGGGCCAAAAUGCCAAAAGUAAUAAUAUAUAUGUUGCCAAAGCAAGAAAAAUUAUUAAUUCUUCAUUUUAAUGAAAGCGAUGCAUCAUAAAUGCUGUGGACCAAUAGAUUGAACCGCCCGGAUUUAUGAUAAUCGCCGCUGGUUUUAAAUAAGCCAUCGGUCGCAUAACCUUUUGCAUCAUCCAGUGACCAAUCAUAUUCAGUCACGUGGAAAAAUAAUACCCUUGCCGGGUCGAGCAUCUCAUUAUUAGAGUAGUCGCUAGUGCACUCGAUUCUCUCAAGUCAACUUCUAUUUCAAGGCCACGAGGCUAUAAAAACAGCUUCCCACCCACCUUCCCACCUCCCCCUAAAACCUGUUCAGUCUUCUUCUAUUAGCAGCUCUUACGGCGCAUCAGACCAACCGGAAUCCGCUUCCGCGAGCCAAAUCGUAUUCACAUCCACGAUGUCUUACUAUUACGCCGGAUGCGCAGAUUACCAGGAGCCCCACUUCCUUGAUUCUUGCUUUCUGUGCCGCAAGCCCCUUGGCUAUAAUUCAGACAUCUUCAUGUACAGGUUAGAAUUUACAUACAAUACGAUCAUCUCGAUUUAGUCCAAUUUUUAAUGAUAAUGAUUCAUAUGAAAUCGAAGAUACCCAGAUGUGAAUUUGCGAUUCAUAUGAAAUCAUACUAAUUUUUUUAAGAAUUAAUAUCGUCACGUUUGCUGCAAUCGAGAUAUAUCUCAAUUUGCAUAGAAUCAUAUAAUAAAUCGAUGAUAUUCAAGAUUUUCAUUCUAGUCUAAAGAAAUUGUUUAUUCGUUUUGAUUGGCUCAGUCUGAUUACUAAAAUACGAAAUUUUGAUGAAUUUUUUGCAGAGGAAACACACCGUUUUGUAGCAAGGAGUGCAGGCAAGAACAGAUAGAGAUGGAUGAAGCCAAAGAGAGGAGCUGGAAGAAGUCAUCUUCUUCUUCAGCUAGAAAAUCAGAAUCAAACAACUCAACACCCAGCAAAACUGUACGGACGGGUACAGUUGCUGUGGCCUGAUAAACUGAUGGGUACUGAACCCCAAUUGAAAAAGCACUAUGUUUUCGGAUUUUGUUAUUUAAAGAAAAAAAAAAAAGAGAGAGAGAGAGAAUUGAAGGAAAUGGAAAAAAAAAGAGAGAGAGAGAGAAUUGAAGGAAAUGGAAAUCCCACAUAAUAUGGUCAAGGAUUUGAUCUGUAAAGGCACGAAUGGUGGGAGAGAGAGAGAGAGCGAGAAGGAGAAAAUGAGAGCAAUCAGACACUUUUCUUUUUCUAUUUUGGGUUGAGUUUUUAUGAGGAUUAAGAGGAACCAGCAUCCUUUGAAUGGGAUGAUCUGUGUUAUUUUUGUAAUGACGUGAUGAUCUUCAUGUUAAUUUUCCCUGUUCGAAGCAUUUUGAAGCAGUCAAUUAUAAAAUCAAAGACUUUGCUCACUUCUUUACGUAUCCUAGUUUAAGAAAAUUAAAAGAAGGCUCUAGCUUGUAUCCUUGUUCCCCCAGUAUGCCCUAUCAUUUUUUUUUUUCCCUCUUUCCCUUUUUUUUCCUUCUUUCCAGUUCAGAUGUGAUUAUGGGUUGUUUCUUAACUUCUCUAUCGUUUUGUUGAAAAUCAGAAAAGCGCUAACACAUAAGUCCAUAUUAUUUCAUUCUUUCUGAGUCUGUUGAUUCAGUUUGACCGUUAAAAUAAAAUAACAUCACAUUUGAGCAUUGAUGACGUAUAUUCAAAUCAAUACGUUUUCUUAUUAAUUUAACAUUAUGUAUUUUCUACUUAUCAUAAUUUAUGUGAAUGUGAAUUUAUUUUCAUCUUAUUUGUAGUUAAAUGUUUCAUUUUUUUUUUUUGGUUACAUAAUAUUUAUUUAAUAUCCACGAUGAUAACAAACAAUAGAGUAAAGCUAAUAUAGGAAAAGAAAAUACUUUGAAUCUCAUUAGUUUUCAGAGGUGAAAAAUUAUUAGUGUGAGAUCAAGCUUAAAACAGUGAAGGACACGUUAGUUAAGUAAAGAUUUAAAUGUGAAGAAGACUAAUUUAGGUAAUGUUUUAUCUUCAUAAUCUUUGUAAAGCUAAUUUGUCGGAUUUAUGCAUGUUCAAGUACUUAAUAGCUCAAAACCUAGUCAUGGCAUUCAAAUUUACAUUCGGUCCCGUGAAAUAUGUUUUCUAUACUUGAAGAAAAAUAGGAGUUAAAUGUUUUAUCAAAAUGAAUAAGAACGUGGACCAAAAUAUAAAACUCUCAAAGUUGGCAUGAAUGUAAGCGAUAGACCGAUUUAGGAAAUUGGCGAACCGGUUUGUUAUAAAUAAAUUGUUCAGAGAGCAAUCAGCGAAUUGGUUUGCCUUAAGCGGCAUAUAGGUUUGUUUGAAAUCCUUCAAUGAUAAUUAUACGGGAAACCUAUUUGUCGGUUUGAUAAAAUUGAUUCACCGCUUUCCUAAUGUGGCGUAGGCCCUGAAAGUAUUGCAAAGGUAAAUGGCCGAUGCCCUAACCAUUGGCAAGAGCCUAGAUCAGCUGCCUACGGCUCUCUUGUGAGAAGUGUGUUCUUUGCAAAAUUCAUCUUAAUAUUUCGAUUGAGUGAUUGUAAGUGUGGAUAACACUUGGGUAAAGAGGUGUGGGAUGUAUACCUCGAAUUUGUAAAAAUUUAUUAAUAUAUUUGAAGUUAAUUAUACUUGUUUUUUGAGCCUUAAAUAUAAGGCUUGGUGUUAGUGAAAUCCUCAACAUUGGAUUGUUUGAGACAUGGAUAUAAUGGAUUUUGUCGAACCACGUAAAAAUUAUAGUAUUUGUUUUCUCAACCCCUGUCUCUUUAAUUUACUUGUUGUAUUUGUUAUUAUUGGAUUAUGGUAGCUGGUAUUGUGGAUUAUGGUUCUUAUUAUUGGAGAAAUUUUUAAAACCGCAAUUCACCUCUCUUGAGUUGUUUAGUUAGAAUUUCAAAACAUGUAAAUAAAUAUUUCAAUUUUACCAAUAAUAUUAAUUUUGAAUAUUCAGAAGUCACUUUGAUAGAGCAAGAAUUCUCUUAUGUUUUGGUUGAUUUUCUUUAUUUUUAAAGAAAAUGGUUAAACUUGACUGACAUUCUAUAGUAAAUCGACAUUUGUUACUCCACCGUUAUAAUUUAAAGACAUUAGUUCACCCUUAUAUUGUUAAGAUAUUUUGUUAACUUAAUCGACAUAAGGGAGAAAAAGUAAAAAUCUAAAUAAAUAUCCUAUUUGAUCUCGAAAUAAGAUUACUUGCACUCAUUAAAAUACCAUAAACAUUAUUUUUUAAUAAAAAAAAAUUAUUACUAAAAUGUCCACAUAAUGAUUUAGCAUUAGGGACAAGAUGAUAGGGUUAAAUAUAAUAAUUUUACUCCUUACAAACAUCUUCAAUCCAUCCAAUUUUAAUUAUAGAUUUUUUCUUGGGUUAUUAUGCGGGGAAAAAAUCUAGAUUCUUGGACGAAUUGCAAUCCAAAUUUUAUUAUUAUUUAUUUAAAUUUAUUUCAUUCUGCGUUUUAAUACAGGAAUUUAUAAUUACCCUUCGCUAAGAUCAUGAGAAUUUUAAUUGGCCUUCAUUGAGAAUUCUCUCCGUAUCUCUUCUUCGAUAAUUUGGCUGAUAGAAUUCGCUAAAUAUGAAAUGAAUACAGGUGAGAUUGCAAAAAGUUUUAAUCAAUUUAUUUAGUGAAAAAUUAAGAAUUGAUUUUCAUAAGGGUAUAUUUGAUAUUUAGAUGGCGUAUAGAGUAAAACUAGUACUUUCGGAUUUUAAUAAAGAUAAAUUUCAGAAUACUCUCUUCAUUAUUUUCAAAUUACUCUUUGUUUUUAAAAAAUCUCAAGUUACACUAAUAUUUGUUCAAAAAAUAAGGUAAAAUGGGAUGGAUGAUGAAACUUUUUUUUUGUCUUCUUAAUAAAAAGAAGAGUAAAUUGAGGUUUUCUAAAAUAAAGGGGGUGAUUUGAAGAUAACUAUUUCAGGAGGGGUAAUCCGAUAUUAACUCUUUUGAUAAUGAGUUUAAUUGGUUGGUGUAAAUUAAACAGUACAUAAACAUUAAACACAUGGUUUCUGACUUGCAUAUUAUUUGCAGCUUAGGGAAAUGGUUUUAUUUAAUGAUUUAUUUUUUUUUCUUUUGCCAAUGAAGAAAACUUUUGUUGAAAGAACUAGAGAUAACAAACGUAUAGAGAAUUCCUCAGACCGGAUAAUUUUUUUCCAUUUGUUUCUGGAAUGGCAGAAUUCCAGCGACCCAUCGAGUUGGAUUGGGGCCAAAAGACGGAGACAUUUAAUCAGUCAGGUCGGGGCAUGUCCAGGACCCAAAUCUGAAUAGGGUGGGGCUCCAGGAUUGGAUUUUUAUUUUUUGAUGACAUGACCCGUUUUGAUGCUAUUUUAACAUUGUGUAAAUUGACGGAGAUAGAUUUCCGAACAUGCUUGUGAAUGCUGGACAUUCUCCAUUCACACCAUUUUUGCAGCCCCUUGUUCGAUUUGCUGAUGAAAAAAAAGCUAAUUUUAUGUUUAUUUUAUUGGAGAAUCUAAAUGUACCCUUUUAAUUUCUAAAUACACAUUUAUAAAUUAGUCGGGUUAGAGAUGUCACUCACAACUCAUCGAGAAAUAAAUAAAUAAAUAAACGAUGCUACGACGGACGUGUACUUCCUCAACUCCGCUAUCCCGCCGCUCUGUGUGAGAGAUAAGACAAUCUAAAACCAAUCGCCGGAAAAACCAAAAACUUCGGAUGUGCGCUAACGUGCGCCAAUUGCGGAGUACUCUCAAGGUACAUCACUCAUAUUCUCUUCUUUCUUUACUGAAGCUUCACACUUUGAGCUGUCCACAAACCCAAAAUCUCACCACUCCACCUCAUUUCUCUUCUUCAAAUUGUGAUUAUUUGAAUCAGUUUGUACCUUUCUCCAUUCCAAACUCAAACUCGUUAACACACAUAAAUUCAUAUGAGCGGCGAAAAAUCGUUGUGGGGCUAUCGAAGAUGGUCAAAAACGAAAAGGGAUAUAUACUAAAAGCCUUUUCACAAAAAUUCUGCCCAUACUUCUUAGUGAAGGUAAUGAAACUAUUAGAAACUCGUGAAACAGCAUUUGCAUUCUUCAAGUUGGUGGUUUGCGAUGAUUCCGAGUCCACAAUUAGGUCUUGUUGCAUUGCCGCUCAUAUUUUUGCGGCUGAAGAUUUACGGCUUCUUGCACAAGAUGUGGUUACUUGGGUUAUUAGCAGAAUUGGAGCAGGUAGGAGUAAACAUAUGGUGGAGUUUAUGUGUGAUGAUUUUCAUCUAUUUGGCUCAGAUUUUCGGGUACUCGAUGCUCUUUUGCACGGCUAUUUGCGGGUGGAAAUGAGUGCUGAGGUGAUGGAGAUUUUAUAUAGAAUGAGGGAGGUGGGCAUCAUGCCGAGUGAGUCUGCAAUUACUAUUCUGUUUAAGUCGUUACUUAGAGUUGGUGAUUAUGGUAGUGUGUGGAAGUUGUUUAGAGAUAUGAUUCAUUUAGGGCCUAGACCUUCUAAUUAUACUUUUAAUGCAUUGAUUCUUGGGUUUUGUAGAAAUGGUUGUAUUAGAAUUGGUGAGAGUUUGCUUCAUGUGAUGCAUAAGUACAUGUGUGUUGCUGACUUUUUUGCCUAUAACAUUUUGAUCAAUGCUUAUUGCAUCAGAGGGCGGACAUCAUAUGCACUGUAUUGGAUGCAUUUGAUGAUUGAAAGGGGCUGCAAACCAAGCACUGCUACAUUUAGUACUGUUAUUGAUGCCUUGUGCAAAGAGGGAAAUGUGGUGCAGGCCAGGAUGAUUUUUGAUAUGAUUCAAGAGGAGGGUCUUUCUCCAAAUGUGGUAGUUUAUAAUGCCCUACUAAAUGGAUAUGUUAAAGCUAGGGACAUUGAUCAAGCAAACAUGCUAUAUGAAGAAAUGAGGAGCAGAGAUAUAGCUCCUGAUGCUGUAACUUUUAAUAUUAUAGUUUCAGGGCAUUGCAAGUAUGGUGGAAUGGAGGAUGGGGAUAGGUUGUUAAGGGAUUUGUCGGUGUCGGGGUUGCUUCCCAAUUGUACGUUGUAUGAUAUUACAGUUGCAGGAUUAUGUUGGGCAGGUCGGUUGGAUGAGGCCAUGGAAUUUUUUGAGGAUAUGUUUGAGAAAGGAAUAUCCCCAAGUAUUUUUGCGUUUAAUUCUAUUAUCGCAGCUUAUAGCAGGGCAGGGUUAGAAGAAAAUGCCUUUGAAGCAUAUAAAAUUAUGCAUCAAUUUGGUCUGACUCCUUCAUCCUGCACGUGUAGUUCUCUGCUUGUGGGUUUGUGCAAAAAGGGGAGGCUGCCGGAAGCCUGGGAUCUUUUGUGUAAGAUGAUAGAGAAGGGUUUUCCCAUCAAUAAAGUAGCUUUUACCGUACUUUUGGAUGGGUACUUCAGGAUAGGGGAUCUGAUAGGAGCUCAGAGUCUGUGGAAUGAGUUGAAUAGGAGAAAAAUAUUUCCUGAUGCUGUUGCCUUCUCAGCCUAUAUCAACGGACUUUCUAAGGCAGGUCUGGUGGACGAGGCCUAUGGCGUGUUUUUAGAAAUGUCAAGGAUAGGGUUUGUACCAAAUAAUUUUGCAUAUAACUCUUUAAUUGCUGGGUUUUGUAACCGUGGGAAGCUAAAUGAAGCAUUGAAAUUGGAGAGAGAAAUGAGGCAAAAGGGUCUCCUUCCAGAUAACUUUACCUUUAAUAUUAUCAUCAACGGCUUUUGCAAACAAGGCAGAAUGAAGCCAGCAAUUGAUGCCUUUAUGGACAUGUAUCGAACUGGGUUAGUCCCCGAUAUUGUCACAUACAACACUUUGAUUGGUGGGUAUUGUAAAGCACUUGACAUUGUUAGAGCAGAUGAGUUGGUGAAUAAAAUGUAUGCUGGCGGGUUGGACCCCGAUAUCACAACCUAUAACAUACGGAUGCAUGGUUACUGCAAUAUUCGAAAAAUGAAUCAAGCUGCAAUGAUGCUGGAUGAGCUUGUUUCAGCGGGUAUAGUUCCAAAUACGGUAACAUACAACACACUGAUGAAUGGUGUUUGCUGUGACAUACUGGAUCGUGCUAUAAUAAUAGCUGCAAAAUUGCUUAAGAUGGCCUUUGUUCCAAAUGUCGUUACUACUAACGUAUUACUGUCUCACUUUUGCAAGCAGGGGAUGCCUGAGAAGACUCUAUUGUGGGGUCAGAAGCUGAGUGAAAUUUCCUUUGAUUUUGAUGAGACUUCCUAUAAGAUAAUGGACAGAGCCUACCAUAAUAUACAAGAAAAUGCUGAGUUUUUUCAAGAAACAUCUGAAAAGAGCCUUUUUUUGGAUUUCCUCAUGUACAUUACAUAUGAUUACUUCUGGAGAAACAGACCCAACUAUAAAACCAGCCAGGCUUCCCUUAAAUUAAUUGAGCAUUGUUCUGCUGGAUCCUGAAAUAACCUCACAGAACAUGAUUUCAGAAGUGUGUUCAACUUGUCUUGCUGAAUCAUUUACUGUCAUUAGGGGGUGUAUGACACUCAACGUUACCGGGGAUUUUUGUGUUCAGUCGAUGAAAUUACAAACAGCGGCAAUUGGAAGAAGAGGCAGGAAAGUUCGUUGACACACUGCAGUGGAGAUUGGUUCCUUUACUUGAAAUGAAAGACAAAUUGAAAAUAUGAGAGGACAAAUGAAAGAAAGUGCCAGGUAAGGUAGAGGGCAUGAGUGUAGCUCCUAAGGAGAGAUUUUAUUGGACCGCUCUUUAAUAGUAUGUGUGUCACCUUCAUUGAAAAUGUAAAGCUGCUGACAUUAUUAGAUUCGGCACAAGUUACCUCUCCAGCAAAUCAAGUAAUGAGUUAUUGUUUAUGAAGUAAAUUUCCUCUAUGUUCUGCAAUUUAUUAUAGGAAAUAUAUUUGGAUAGAUGAAAGAUCCUAACUGCUCUGGGCUUUUAACAGGUGAAGUGGAUGAAGUCUUAUGCAGGACUUGCAGUAUAGCAUGAUCUAAUGUUUCAUUUAUGAAAUCUGGCGGCUUUCUAUUAACUUACUAUGAAAGCAUAUUACACAGACAGGUCAGUAAUGCAUGGUUGCUUCUCCUUUUGUUAUUGCUGUCACCCAAAACUGUUCUGUAACAAGAGCAUAACAAACACCAUAUACCUUCAAAAUGUAUAUGAAGUAAUCAAAAUUGAUGAUUGACAACGAGACACUGUUUUGUUGCAGGCUGCAGUAUGGCCUUUGCCAGUGAAGAAGGUGGAUCAGCCAGACUGAGGGCUUAAACUCUGCAGGUUUGUCAUAGAAAUUGAGUCCACUGCACCAGUGUGCAUAUAGGCUUCAUUCUAUUUGGGUCAUGGGUUGUUUUAGAAGGCAGCAUUUGCCCAUUGCAGCCAAGGUUGAAGGGAACCAUGCGGAAGCCAAAUGAAGUCGGAUGCUCUUCUUGACUUGUUAAUUAUUUGUUAGAAGGAUGAGUUAGGGAAAUGCUGCAUAGUUUCAGUACUUAAGGUUGAAUCAAAAUCACAGAAUAAAAACUUUCUCCUUGCUUUUUGGGCUUAAUUGGACAAUGAUUUAAAUGGAAAUAGUCAUUCCAAGUUAGCGGAAUGAAACUCGCAAGGGUCGUUUUCAUUGCUCUCUUUGUUGUUGCACAACUAAACUGCUUAUCUAAUGGCAUUAUUUACUCUAAUACUUCUAAAAAGGAAGCUGCUUCCACAUUUAAAAAAAAUGAAGAAAUGAAGAAACUCCUCUGUUACGUCAGGACAGGAAAAUAUUAGCACGACCAUUUAGUAAGCUGGCCCCAAACACAAAGGUCCCAAAUGUUGAAACAACCAGUACAUUCAGUUUCCGAGAAAUUCUUACAUUUCCAUUAAACAAUUAGAAAACUUGGGCAAGGGCUGUGGGGGGUGGGGUUGUGUGUGUUGUGGAAGGAAGAAUAUAAACCUUCGAAGAACUUUGGCCAGUUACAAAACAUAACUUAUUGCAUCAUAAAUUUACUUCAAGUUCUCCUCCUCUAGAGGAUUUGAAUUCGUGAAAAAAAAAAAAGUUAUCGGGACGAACUUGACACUUGACACUCCAUCGCAUUGAGUUUGCAGGAGUGGUACCUACGGGUGAUGAUGCUGAUUAUUGGGUAACCAUAAGCCUAAGAAAUAAGAUUACUUGCUCGAGUCUUGGGCGAUUUAUAAGUUAAUUUUUGGGAUAAUUAUGUUUACAGUGGGGAUAAUUUUGUAAAGAAAAAUUAAUAAUGAACUAAUUUUAUAAAUUGUUUUUGCAGUGGGGGCAGAUUAGUAUUUUCUUCAACUCUUUUAUUAUAGUGUUGCCCUUUAAUUUCCUGGAUCUGCACCGGCGUGUCCCAAUUUUUCAGCUAAAUUUUCAGCCGACUUCCUUAAAACUCUAUGCAAAAUACAUUCAUUUACUAAUAUGAAAUUGUUGAGGAUGCAAAACUAUUGACUGCUCUUUUCCAGGUAUGUUUUCAUAUUUCCUUCGCGCCAGCCAGAGGCAUGAUAUUAUUAUUAUUGUCUACAGCUUUCUCUCUCUCUCUUUUUUCAUUUUUUUCGAUAUGAUAUUUGAACAUAAAUAAGUUCUUACAUCUCCAUUAAACAUAUUACGAACGAAACUUAGGGAAGCGCCAAUAGGAGAGCCAGCAAAAAAAAAAUAAAAUGAAAAGAACUGUCAAACCACUUUGGCUCUCUGCAUAAUCAACAAUCUUCUUCUACUAGCUCCUUCUACAUGCUCACCAAGUUUAGCUAAAUGUGCCAUUCGUCUUUUCCAUGCCUCAGAAGGUUCAUGUUGCUUCUGCUUCGUUUGUGCCUCAACCGGGUCCUCUUCACAGAUCUCUUCAAAAGUUUUAUCAAAGGAGUCUCCUUCAUUUGAAACUUGCACUAUCUGCUUCAAUCUCUCCACCACCUGACUCAUCUUUGGCCGAUCCUUGGAACUCUUUGACAAGCAAUUGUCUGCUAACCUGCCAAUUUUUCGAGCCUCAUUGAUCGAGUACUCUUUCUCAAGUCGAGGGUCCAUUAUCAAGCCAAACUUUUUACUAUCAGAGGGAUACUGCUGCACCCAUUCCAAAAGUCUCUGCUCUGUUUUUGGGCGGUUUCUUUCCAAUGACCGCCUGCCAGUAAGCAUCUCAUACAAUACUACACCAAAGCUCCAUACAUCACUUUUGGCUGUGAGAUGACCUGUCUCUAUGUAAUCUGGAGCAGCGUAUCCGAAUGUUCCCACCACCUGAUCACAGAAAAUUAGAAAUGUUAGUUCAUGAGCACAAUAAAAUCAGUCUCUUACUUAUUUCAGAUUAACCAGUUUUGCUACUUGUAAGAAAUAAUCUGUAAAGUCAUUUAUGAGCCACAAACAACAUUGAUCAACUCAAAUUUCUACUUUAAGUUGUUCUGUCUGAAAACUUUGACACAAGUGCAUGCUUUCAACUUGAUUUUGUGUUGAAUUUUACAGAAGUCCAGUGCUCAAAAUAUGAUUCGAGAGGAUCGUUAAUGAGAAUAUUGGCAAAAAGGAGUUACUUACUGCUGUCGACACGUGUGUAUGGCCAACCAUUGGCCCUUCCCUUGCAAGUCCAAAGUCUGAAAGUUUUGGCCUAAAAUUCUCAUCCAAUAAAACAUUGGAGGCUUUGAAAUCACGAUAUAUCACCUUCACCAUUACCAUAACAAAUCAUUAGAUAGCAAGAAACACUAAGAAGUUGAUUAGAUCAUGAACAUAACCUGGGGAAAGAAGGUAAAAAUGUGGCACAAUUACAAUGAAACUGAACUAACCUGAACUUCCAAUCCUUCAUGUAGGUAAGCCAAUCCUUCAGCUGCCCCAAGUAUUAUAUGUAAUCUUGUUUUCCAAGGAAGGGGUGGAAAUGCCCUGUUAAAAAGAUGAUCUUCCAAGCUCCUAUUCAGCAUAAACUCAUAUACAAGUAGUCGCUGGAUCCCUCUUUCUCCAUCUACAGCACAGUAUCCUAUCAGUUUGACAAGAUUUGGGUGUUCCAGAACACCAAGAAAUUGGACCUCUGCUACCCACUGUUUGUGACCCUAUUUGAGUUGCAAAGUAUUAGGGCAAGUAAAUAUCAUGUACUGGAAAAUACAAAUCUAACAACAAAGAACCCAAUUGGUGAUCUUUCGGGGUUAAAGAAAAGCCCUGAAUGAGCUAAUACAUAGGGAUUUAAUACGCUAACCAGAAUAUAUAUAUAUAUAUAUAUAUAUAUAUAUAUGGCUUGGGCAUCUUUGAUUUGCAUUUGCAUAUGGCCUAUGAGCAUAUGUUUGGUUCAAAAUGUAUAGCUAAAGCCAAAGGUUAGCAAUCUGAGUACAAAUGAGUGCCGAAGAUAAUGAUUGAAAUGCAAGACUAGGUUCGUGUGAAGUAAGAAAUCAGAAGCAAGAAAAAAGGCAUUCAUAAGCAAAAAUUUGAACAGAAACUACAAUCACAUCGGAGUUCUGACCAAAUACAUACAUACAUACUUCAAGCAUUCAAAUAUAAUAUUUUUAUUAGAAAAUGGAUCGCCAAACAAAUCAAAAAAUUAAAAAAGAAGAAGAAUAUUGAGAUAAUAAUUAAUUUAAUUUCAUACCUGCAAGCCGUCCCUGUUAAGCUUUUUGAUAGCAACUACAGUAGCCUCACUUGUCCCAUCACCUGCAGCAGGCUUAAUUGAACCUUUAUACACACUCCCAAAUCCACCUUCACCAAUCUUAAGCAUCCUGCUGAAAUCAUUUGUGGCUUGUCUCAUCUCAGAAUAUGAAAACACUCUCAAAUUAUGAGCUUUCUCUUCGUAUAACUCAGGAAUCCCACGCGGGGAAGUCACUGACGCUGAGCAUGAAGAUUUAACAAAACGAUCACUCUCUGCCCCAGAAUAAUCUUCAGACUUUCUUGGCUCUUUCAACUCUGGAGCUGAUCUUUCUUCCCUUCUUCUCAAUUUCUUCUCCUUGAAAUAGUGAAAGCACUUCAUCUUAUACAACUCAAAAAACAAAACAAGCAAUCAACGAAAAGCUAGUAACCUAUUUGCCGCAAAAAUCAACAAGAGCACAACAAGAAGAAAAUUUACCAGAGUAUUAUAUAUUUUUUAUUUUGCACAAAAUAUUAGAGGAAGAAGAAUAUACACCUUUCGCUGACCCUGCCGUGCCCGUUUACGAUUUUGUAAUAUUUGGUGCUUUGAAUUUGGAGAAUAAAAAAUUUAAUUCUGACUAGUCAUUUUUUUCAGCCGACGAUCAAACAAGAGACUGUUUUGAUUAUGACUUCACUUGGUUAACGGGCCCGCUCGGUUGCACAGAUUUAUCAAAUCUCUACGCGACCCAUUACGAAAAAGACAAAAGUUAUCAUCACUUCUACACACCUUGACCUUCAGUUUCAAGUUUCAACCAAAUCUAAAUCUAACGUCGAAGAAAGGAGCUGUUCCGGUGCGCCGGUGUGGAUCUGCUCAGAAUCCUAAAUUAAAUUCAUUAAUAAGAAAUUUAUGGUUAACCACAUUUGAUUAAUUUCAAUAACUUUUAGGAUCUUAUAAUCGUAAAUCCCAAAUCCCACCGAGAUUUUCAUGAACGGAAAAAGUAUUUUCAAAGUUGAAAUCACAACAAUCUAUUUUUAAUAAAAAUAAGAGAAAUGACGGUUACACCCUUCCUUCCGAGUUGCCGGCGGCCUUGCCCUUCGGACAAGUAAGCAGUUUACCUCUAUAUAAGUCGAUGUGUUUUGGCAAGGGAUAGGAAAAUUAUUUGUCAACCAGAGUUAAAAUUUUAAAAAUAUUAUAUUUUAGUUGGGACUUAUUAUAUAAUAUUUUUAAAACUUACCAUUUUCAUUGUUAAAUGAAACAGUAGGGACUGCUGAAGAAAAUGCCAAAGUGGGCGUGGGGUACGUCCAUCCGGGCAAGACAGUUUUGUCCUCUGUUCGGCGCGUGCGAGUAUUCUAUCAUUAUUAGCUUGACUGACUCUAUCCGACGAAUGAAACAUUGUACCCACGUGGACAUCGAUGUGGAUCAGAGUUGAGAAGUGGGACCUAUUUUUUUUAAAAAUACAGAGAGGUAAUAUAAUUAAUUUACUUAAAUUUGAUAAAAAAAUUAAUUAUUUAAUAAAUAAUAUAUUAUUUAGGAUAAUAUGUUAAUUUAUUUAGAUCUUAUAAAUAAUUAUUAACUAUAUAUAAUAAAUGAGAUAUUAUUUAUAAUAAAAUUUAGGAUAAAAAGUAUGAGAUAUUUACAUUACUCAACAUAUUAAGUAGUAGAGCUAUCAAAGUCAUCCUACAUGCGGCCCAUGUGAAAUAUCUUGGCUUCGUCUUACAAAGUUACAAAAGUAUCCCCUUUCAUAGAUUUCAAAAAUUCAGCAAUGUCAAUUUGGUCCUUUUUAAUGUAACUUUCUAUUUUUUAAGACGAACAAGAUGUCGUUGCGAUCACCUUGGCUUCUUCUUCUGAAGUCAAAAAAUUAUCUCCUCUACAGUGGUCAAUUUGGCCCUUUUCAAUGCAAUUUUAUUAAUUCUAGUUGUUUCUUCUGAAGUUAACUUGUUUGACUUUCUUACUUAAUAUAUUCACGCGAUUUUCUUAAUUUCUUGUGAAAUUGUGUUCUUGUCACCUUCUCCACCAAAUUUGUUUGACAAAAGUCAAACCCACUAAGUUUAAUAAAUUAAUUAAUUAAUAAAUGAAACACGGGAGAGGAUGGCAAACUAUCAGCUGUUAGAUGCAUUAAUUAGUCAAAACAAUGCUAGAACGUACACGUUCCUUAAAAACUUUUGGAAUGAGUCAACUACGGUUUAAUCACACCCCUGACCCGCAAAAUCUAUUUUUAUUAACAAAUAAGUCAUGGAAUCUUGUUCCCAAAGUUUCAGAUCGUUCCUUCCUUAGUUGCAUCGUCCUGCAUAUAAUAAUAUACCGUUAAACUAACUUACGGUAAGGGCGCGCUGGUGAUGCAUUCAUUCAUUACUUAGCUUCACAGUCACACGUCUGAUUCAACAAAUUAAUGAGACGUGAUUAUUUAUUAAGUUAUCUAUUUUAUUUUUUUUAUCUUUAAUGUAAUAGAAGUUCACGAGUUAGCAAUUAUUUGAGUUUCUGAAUUCAAAGUGAUGACUCAUUGGUUCGUAUUGUUCAAAUAGAUACUUACGUACGGUGACUUAUCAUCUUGUAACGUUUGUGUGGUUAAGUUUAUAGUUUCAAUAUCAUUAACGAGUGUUACGGGAUCCCACUAUAGCUAAAGAUAAUGAAAAAAGAGUUCAUGAUUUGGUCACUUGAUUUUACCUAUUGCAUGUAUUAUAUCAUUGGCAUGGACAAAUUGUAUUAUAUAGGUAUAUAUAUACAAUGCUCCUCAAAUCGAGCUUGCCGUUGCUGUCCAACGCCACAGAUUCAUUCAGUUGCACUCGUAGAUUUGCGUGUUUCAGAAGGUUUAAGAUACAAGGCCGAAGCCCGAAGCCCGAAGCCCAAAGGUGGGGAUUGGCAUCCACUAAUUACUUCCAAUAGCGCCUUUGAAAAGCCCAGCUCAUUGAAACAUGUUAUUAGGGGACCUUUGACAGCCCACAUAAUACGGUUUUAAGUUAUUGCUGACCCAUGUUUAAUAAUUUCGGAACUUAUAUAAUUAUAUCGUGGUGGUGUAUUUCGAAUUUAAUAUUUUACUGUAUUAUAAUAUAAUUUAUAUCGUAUUCUACUUUUUUAUUUUUAUAUUUGUAAUAUUAUGAUAAUUAACAUAUAACAAUAAAUUUAUAUUAUAUAUAUUUUUAAUUAUUUUUUUGUAGUUUUUAUUAUAAGAUUUGAGGAGUAUUGUAUAUAACAAUAUUAUUUAAUUAUAGUAAUUAUUAUAAAAAUAAUUACUUAAUAUAUUUAAAAAUAAAAUUUAAAUAAUUUUAAUUUAAUAUUAUAGUCACCACGAAUGAUUUGUGGCUAACACAAUAUAGUAUAAUAAAUGCACCAUUAAAAUAUUUAAGCGUUGUUUUGUUAACACCAAAAAAAAAAAAAAAUUCCCUAUCAAACCCUUCAUCUCGUAAGGUACCUAUUUUGAGAAUUGCAAUGCAAUACCUCUAGCCCCAGUCCCAACAUCUUUUUGUUUGCAAAAAUGAAAAAAAAAAAAAACACUAAAAUUUUCUAAGAUGCACACUUCUUUAUUUACUCCGGACUUUCUUAAUUCCAAAAUUGAUCCUUAAUUUAACUCAAUUGAUACAAUAAGAAACUCAUUAAAUACAAAAAAGAAAAUAAUACUUUAUUAUUAAAUUGUUAGAUAGUUAUUGCUUUAAUAACACCAAAAAUAUAUAUUUUAUAUGAUUAUUGACUAAAACUUGCUAUAUUAUCUAUUAUUUAACGAUGUUCGUUAAAAAGAUAUAAUACAAAGUUUGUAUGCUAACUAAUGUGUCGUUUUUUUUUUUUUGUAAGGCUUUGUGAUUAACAAAUAUUGAGUCAUAUUCCUUCUUAUCCAAAUAACGAAUUUAUGUUCGUGACACAUUAGUUGAGAUUUAGUCUUGUUAAUGCAUCACUAUUUAAAAUUUAUACUCACUACACAAUAUUGGAUUAAGCUUGGGGCACAUUUGGCGGCGGCAUAAAGUUAAGAGGAUUGAACUAUUUUUUAAAAAAAUAGUACAAUCAUUUAUUUGGUGUCACAAAGAUAAGUGAGGAUUCCCCUGGGAUCCUAGGGAUAAAUUUUUUCAUGUUUAAAAAUAAUUGUAGAAUAGCUAUACUAUAUAAUAGGGAUAUUGCCAAUUUCCCCCUUAUUGUAAUUAAUAUAUACCAUUUACUCCCUUAUUGUUUUUAUAAUAGUUAAUAACCCCCUCACAACAUUAUUUUACAAUAUUACCCCUAUUUUCAAAUACACUUUUAUUUAUAUUUAUUAUAAAUUAAAUAAAUCACACGAAUAGAAACUGAAUAAAAAAGUAUUAAAAAUAAGAAAUAUAUGAUUUGAUGUGAACAAAAAAUAAUUAAUAAUAAAAAUUUUUCUUGUACUUUUUUAUUUUGUAAACAUUUUUUCAUAUUAAAUUAAGAAAAUGCUUAUAAAAUAAAAAAUACAAGAAAAUAUUUUAAUAUUAAUUUUUUUGUUCACAUCAAAACAUAUAUUUCUUAUUUUUAAUACUUAAUUUUUUUUUCAUUUAUGUGAUUUAUUUAAUUUAUAAUAAAUAUAAAUAAGAGUGUAUUUGAAAAUAAUAGUAAUAUUCUAAACUUAUAUUGUUAGGGGUUAUUGGCUAUUAUAAAAACAUUAGGAGAGUAGAUGGUAUAUAUUAAUUACUGUAACGAGGAAAUUAACAAUCUCCCCUAUAUAACAUCUAUAAAUAUUAUUACAUUAUAUUGUCAUAUUGAUAUUUAAAUAUUUAUUUAGUUUAUUUUUUAUUUAAUCUUCUAGAAUACUGAACACAAGAUAAUACUAAAUAAAAUUCAUUCCAAUCUCAUUAUAUCCUACCAAUUAGGCAAUUACCAAAUACAACAUAAUACUCUACGUAAUCUAAUCAUAAAUUAUUCUUUCGUGUGUUAUUCCCAUCUCAUUCCAUUCAAUCCAGCAUGCAUCCUUAGAAUUUAAGUCGGCAAGUAAAAGGAGAGAGGAGCGUAGGCCGAAGAGCACUCGCAACGGGCGACCCAUUCGACUUUCGAUCCCCUAAAAAACCUACCUUUUGACCACCUUCUUGGUCGGUUUGUUAAAUUUAUUUUACCCUUCUCUCUCUUCGCUUCGCUUUCCGUCUCUCACCAAACAAAACGUUCUCAAAUUAUUAUUAUUAAUUAUUAUUGUCAUUAUUUUUUAAAAUUUUCAUCUUCUCUGUGUGUAUCCGACUACCGUCAUGACCACAAAUUAAAACCCUAAUUUUCUCUCUCUUCACUCCAUCACUCUCUCUCAUCUCAGGUUUUGCUUCUUUUCCACUCUCACUCCCAAACCCUAAUUAUACUCUAAUUAAAAUUAUUAUGUGUUUUUGAUUUUGUGGAUCUACUUUGUUUCUGUUUUUGGUUACAGAGACGAACGAUUAAAGCGAAAUUAAGGGGAAUAAUUCGACGAAGGAUAUAUGUCCUUCAAUCAAUCAAGGUCCGAUAGAAGCGAGACUCAGUAUCGAAAAUCAGGACGAUCCGCAGGCUCCAAUCAGCAGCGGACCUCCUCAGGCUCUUACGGUAAGGGCGCUGGCGGUGGCCCCGCCCCUUCACCGUCUGUUCACUCCUCUUCCUCUCUUCCUUCCUCCAAUCGCAGGUCACUCUCUAUUUCAUUUCUUUUUCUUUUGAUCCUUGAACUAAAGCUAGGGUUUUAAUUCUCUGUGUUUGCUUUAAUUUCAUUCAUAUUAGUCCUUUGAUUUUGAUUAUAUUAUUAGAAUGAGCGCUUAUUCUUUUUUUUUUUUUUUUAAUUGAUGAUAGUUUUAAGAAGUCUCACAAUGCACAAGGAGGCCAAUCUAGGGUGAAUGUACCCGCUGUUAAUUCUUCGGACUCUACUAACAAUGCUUCUGCUCACCGCAAUGUACAAAACGGUGCACAUUUACAGCCCCAGUUGCAUGGUGUGUGCACGCAUCUGCUAUUGUUUUUUAUUUUUUUAUUUUGUUGUUGGUUUUCUGUUUUUGAUUUUUUAUUUACUCUCAAAAUUGGAUCAUUUGUUGAGAAAAAUGUGAAUGGGAUUUUGAAUCUAUGUUUGUUCUAGGAGCAUCUGAUGCGCCAGUUGGUGCCAAUUCUUCCAAGCAAGUUGAUUCGUCCACCCCUCAGAGAAGCACCCGAGCUGUUCCAAAGGCUCCAACUUCUCAAUCAGCCUCCAUGAGUUCUGACAGUACUGCUUCUGCAACACAGGCUAAAGGUUUUUUCUCCUUGCAUGUGCUUGGUUUUAUAAAUGCUUCAAGUAAUCAUGAAUUUUACUGAAAAAAAAAAAUCAUGAAUAUCAAAAUGAGGGUGGUCUUUUGAUGUUUUGAUGUAAUAUAUGAUCUGAUUAGCAUUAUUUAUCAUCAAUUAUCCUGUUCUACUGUUUGAUACUUCUAGAUUGAUGUAACUACCUUUAUGCUUAUAAUGUUUUCUUUUGGUCUAGCUCCUGGAGAUGUGUCUAAGGCAUUCCAUUUUCAGUUUGGUUCGAUUGGGAUGCAGGUAUUCUUCUUCUAUUAUUUUUCCACUUUAUGCCAUCUAGAGAGUUAGUUUUUGAGUAUUUAUUGGUGUUAUAUAUUUAAAGUCUUGAUCUAAAAGACUGAAAGAUUAUUUUUCUAUAUUCCUUGUAGAUUCCAGCUCGAACUAGUUCUGCACCCCCUAAUUUGGAUGAGCAGAAACGUGACCAGGUCUGUUUAUAUUUUUCUCUAUCCUGGGGUCAUAUUAUUCAGCAGUAAACUAUAAAUGGUCGGAUUUAUUAUCUGAACCAAGAGUGCAGAAAAGUUUACUGUCUUCCUGGAUAGUAUGAACUGUAGAUUUUUACUCAUUUCCCUUUUCUUCCUUCCUAAGUAGUCUGAACCUAGAUUUCACAUUUUCUUUUCUUGUGUUGGGAUGGACUUUUCCCAACAACCAUAUGUUGAUACCUUAACUUUUAUAUGGUUUGGUUUUCUCAGUUUCAAUAUUCUUGACACUCUACUGUGGAAGCACAUUGGACUUAGUGUUUGAUGAUCAAAUUAUGAAGCUGUCUCGUUUAUUUUUUGGCUUGCAGGCACGCCAUGAUGCUUACAGGUCAGUGCCAAAUAUACCAAUGCCUUCUGUCCCAAAGCAGCAGCAGCCUAGGAAGGAGGCUGGUGUUACUGACCAAUCUAAUACUGUGGAGGUUCAUCAAGUACCAAAAGUCAAAAAGGAUCCUCAAGUCUCACUUCCACCCAUGGCAAGCCCAGCGCAAAAGCCGUCUGUUCUUCCCAUACCAAUGACUUCUAUGCAAAUGCCAUUUCACCAGCCACAAGUUUCUGUACAGUUUGGUGGGCAUAACCCACAAGUUCAGUCUCAGAAUGUAACGGCCACUUCACUCCCUAUGCCAAUGCCCAUUCCAUUACCAAUGGGAAAUGCUCCACAAGUGCAGCAGCAUAUGUUUGUUCCAGGUCUUCAACCACAUCCAAUGCCUCAGGGACUCAUGCAUCAGGGACAGGGCAUGGGUUUCACAACUCAAAUGGGUCCUCCCCAACUACCUCCCCAGCUAGGCAAUAUGGGAAUGGGCAUGACCCCACAAUACCCCCAACAGCAGGGAGGAAAAUUUGGUAGCGGUCCUCGUAAAACCAUUGUAAAGAUUACUCAUCCGGACACGCAUAAGGAGGUCAGGCUUGAUGAACGAUCAGAUACAUAUUCGGAUGGUGGGGUCUCAGGCCCUAGGUCUCAAUCCCAACCAAUACCAUCAUUUGCAUCUGCUCAUCCAAUAAAUUAUUACCCUAAUUCUUAUGGUGCAAGUUCCAUUUAUUAUCCAGCACCAGGUUCUCUUCCGUUAACAAGUAGCCAGAUAACACCCAAUUCUCAGGCGACACGAUUUAACUAUCCGGUUGGCCAGGGUCCCCAAAAUGUAUCUUUCAUGAAUCCAAAUCUUAAUUCUCUGCCUGUUAGUAAGACAGGGACCCCAAUGCCUGGUAUUGCGGAACCAACCAAUUUUGAGCAGUCGCGUGAUGCACAUAUUUCAUCUGCCCCUUUAGGAACUGUACAGGUGACAGUUAAACCAGCCUCAGGAUCUGUUGGAGAAAAGAGUGCAGAUUCCUCUUCGUCAGACAUUUCACCUGCAGUUGGUAAGGUUGCAACACCUAAACCUUCAAGGCCUUCCGGGGAAGCUACUACAUCUCAUCAUCAAGGAGACCCGGAGACUUCUCCAGAAAAAUCUUCUCAGAAGAUGAAAUCCAGCAGCGAACUGUUAGUGUCCAAUUCAUUGGCAGGAGCUAUCAAACAGUCUGUUGCAGUUUCUUUACCUGUCUCUACUGAGAGUCUGGCAUCCAAUUCUUUGCCCACGUCAUCAUUUGAGGAGUCUGUACCAGUUGCAAAUGUGGAAGGAAGAAGAAGGGAGUCUCUGAGUAGGUCAAGCUCUAUCAAAGAUAAUCAGAAGAAGCCAGGCAAGAAAGGACAAAUCCAGACACAACAGCAGGUAGUGCCAAACUUUUGAGAUAACUGUUCUUUCAAGUUAUUCUGCUAAUGCCUUAAACCUUUGUCUGCAGGUUGGUGGGCAAUCUACCUCAACCUCUAGCUUGGGCUGGAGAACUGCAGAAACUGGCAUACAAUCCAACAGUGGAGUCUCUGAAACUAAGGAAGCUAAAACAACUAGUGAAUUGUCAUCUGCAAUUGAUGCUUCUACUUCUGAUAUUUCUGAGGCAAAGGAUGAGAGCACUAAGCAGAGUGUUACUUCUGUUUUAGCGGAAAUAUCUGGUGCUGGAAAUGCUGCGAAUGUCUUGGACACCGAUUGUGAUGCUAAGAAAAAGCUAGGUGAAUUUCCUCCACAAGAAUCUUUGGGAACAGAGGCUAGGGGAGGAGAGACCUUGGCUGACUGUUUCAAGCAAGAUAUUAUCCCUUCUGAGAUUGCUUCUCAAUCUGCUACUUCGAAAUCUAUAGAACUUGUCAGCCAAACUGAUCAGGAAUCUGUAUUAAAGGCAACAGCUGUUUGCAAUGAGGUUCCAAUAUUGGGAACCACGGAGGAAGUGUUGGGUGAAUCUGCAAGAGCUUCUACUGAAGCUCACAGGGUUGCCGACGAUAUGGAUGCAUCUAGCUCCGGAAUUGCAGAUUCAACAAAUGUUGAAUGUUCACAUGGUAAUAAGACUUCGACUGUGGAUGCCUUGUCAAGCAAAAGUGUAAUACAGCAGCAUCCUGCUCCUGUUUCAGCUACUGAAUUUCUGGAAACAAUCCCAAAAACUGAAGGGGAGGUUCUGGAUAAUAGUGGUGCUGGCUCAGUCUUACUUCCAGUAUCGGGUUCCAAGGAUAUGCCUGUAGUAGAAUUAAAUAGAUCAAAGAGCUCUAUUACUAGAGGAAAGAAGAAGAGAAGAGAAAUCCUUCUGAAAGCUGAUGCUGCCGGGACAACUUCAGAUCUUUACAUGGCUUAUAAGGGUCCUGAGGAGAAGGAGGCUGCCAUGCCUUUAGAAAGUGCUCAAGACACAUCUACUAUUGCGAAUUCAAAGCAAGUAGCUGCUGAUACUGUUCAUGUACAUGCUGUAGCCAGUGAAAAAAGUGUUCAUAGUAAAGCAGAGCCUGAUGAUUGGGAAGAUGCUGCUGACAUGUCAACACCAAAAUUAGAACCUUUAGAUGAAGAUGGAAAUGGAAAUCUGGGGAAGAAGUAUUCAAGAGAUUUUCUCCUGAAGUUUGCUGAACAAUGUACUGAUCUUCCAGAGGGUUUUGAGAUAGCAGCUGAUAUAGCAGAGGCUUUGAUGAGUGGUAAUAUCAAUAUUUCUCAUCUUGUUGAUCGUGAUUCGUAUCCUAGUCCUGGAAGAGCAACGGAUAGGCAAUCGGGGGGGCCUCGAGUUGAUCGUCGUGGAAGCGUAAUGGUUGAUGAUGAUAGAUGGGGUAGACUACCUGGUCCAAGUUUGGGGAGGGAUUUGCGUCUGGAUGUUGGUUAUGGUGCUAAUGCAGGAUUCCGUCCUGGCCAAGGUGGUAACUAUGGCGUUUUGAGAAAUCCCCGACCACAAAUACCUAUGCAGUAUCCUGGAGGUAUCCUACCUGGGCCUAUGCAGCCCAUGGGUUCUCAGGGAGGGAUGCAAAGAAAUAGUCCUGAUGCUGACAGGUGGCAACGCAUUGCUAAUUUCCAACAGAAGGGUUUAAUUCCUUCUCCUCAGACUCCUUUGCAGAUGAUGCACAAAGCUGAUAGAAAAUAUGAAGUCGGUAAAGUGCAAGAUGGGGAAGAGGCCAAGCAGAGGCAGCUGAAAGCUAUUUUGAACAAGCUAACUCCUCAAAACUUCGAGAAACUCUUUGAGCAAGUAAAAGCAGUAAACAUCGACAAUGCUGUUACACUCACUGGUGUGAUCUCUCAAAUUUUUGACAAAGCUUUAAUGGAGCCUACUUUCUGUGAGAUGUAUGCAAACUUCUGUUAUUUUCUUGCUGGAGAGCUACCUGAUUUCAGUGAAGACAAUGAAAAAAUUACUUUCAAGAGACUGCUUCUGAACAAAUGCCAAGAGGAAUUUGAGAGAGGAGAGAGAGAGCAAGAAGAAGCUAACAAAGCUGAUAAAGAGGGGGAGAUUAAGCAGACCGAGGAAGAAAGAGAAGAGAAGAGAAUCAAGGCUCGAAGACGAUGGCUAGGCAACAUUAGACUAAUUGGUGAGUUGUACAAGAAGAAAAUGUUGACUGAGAGAAUAAUGCACUGCUGUACGGCCAAGGCGGAUGUACGGUACAGCAGCUAAUAAAUAGAGAAAUUUUCUUUUAAAUUUGACCUUGGCUGACUGUUUCAAGCAAGAUAUUAUCCCUUCUGAGAUUGCUUCUCAAUCUGCUACUUCGAAAUCUAUAGAACUUGUCAGCCAAACUGAUCAGGAAUCUGUAUUAAAGGCAACAGCUGUUUGCAAUGAGGUUCCAAUAUUGGGAACCACGGAGGAAGUGUUGGGUGAAUCUGCAAGAGCUUCUACUGAAGCUCACAGGGUUGCCGACGAUAUGGAUGCAUCUAGCUCCGGAAUUGCAGAUUCAA